rnacentral:rRNA from 1 species
UACGGAGGGUGCGAGCGUUGUCCGGAAUCACUGGGCGUAAAGGGCGCGUAGGUGGCGGUCCAAGUCAACGGUGAAAGCUCGGGGCUCAACCCCGAGUCGGCCGUCGAUACUGGGUUGCUUGAGCACUGUAGAGGCAGAUGGAAUUCCGGGUGUAGCGGUGGAAUGCGUAGAGAUCCGGAAGAACACCGGUGGCGAAGGCGGUCUGCUGGGCAGUAGCUGACACUGAGGCGCGACAGCGUGGGGAGCAACAGG